UCAAUGAGAAUGCUUCAAAGAAUUUGAAUGACGUCAGCCAGAAGGCCAUUCAGCUGUUGGCAAUUGUCGAGAGAGUUCGCAGGCUAUUGAAAACCACAGUAAGGCCACAUGAAGGCGACCAACUUAGCAUCUCACUACUUUUUCUUCGUCCACCGAAGCGAACAGAGAUUGUUAGAACGCUCACCAGAGUGGAAAAACGGAGGCUUUUCGUAUUGCGUGUGAACGGUGGAAACGGAGGUUAUCGAAUAAGGUAACGUCACUGAUAUUAUUCGCGCUUUAUUUGCAUAAAUCAAACAAAAAAACAUGGCGGUUGCUAUCACUGAUAACGCAUGCGCAUAGAAUUCGAUCCGCGUUGUGCAUGCGCAGUAGCAGGGGUCAAUCGUCACAGCGUAAUCGUUUGGACGCCAAUACGAUUCGAAUGCACUUCGUGUGUACGCGUAUCUUUUUGAAUACGGAGAAAAAACAUUUUUUUUCACUGAAAUAAAA